UUAAGGACCCUUUCUUGCCCGCCAGAGGGAGUUGUAGAGAGAAAAGAGAAGGGGAGGGCAUCUCUAUUAGCUGGCCAGCAAGUCAGCUCUUGGCCCCCACCCCAUGACAGGGAAAUUACAGGGGAAGCCUCAGCGUGCGUAUGGGGGGCGGCAUUUUUUGCCACCGAAGGCAAAUGCCUAGUUUGUGUUAAAUCCGUUUUUUAUUGAGACAAUUUUAGAAACGAUUUUCCCUCGCAGGGGAUGCAGUGCAUAUACAGGUAACAAUAUAUUGGACAGCUAUGGUAUAGCGUUGAUAUACUGAUGUUUGCCUGCUCAGAGGCUGUAUAUGCGUUAUCUCACAUACCAUAACGGUCAACAAGGCAGUUUUCCCACACGGGUCAUAUUGUAGGCAGUACAAGGAGUUUUAGGUUAACGUUUCAACCAUGGUGUUAGAUCGGUGGUUAUGGUAUGAGGCAUAGCCCAAGUUUCCCAUACUGGGGAAGCAAUGUGCAUUUAGGGAGCAGUAUAGGGUUCUUUAUUGGUAUAGCUUUGGUACCUCGAUAUUUGCCUGC